rnacentral:rRNA from 1 species
UACGUAGGGUGCGAGCGUUGUCCGGAAUUAUUGGGCGUAAAGGGUGUGUAGGCGGUUUUUUAAGUUUGGUGUGAAAUCUCCCGGCUCAACUGGGAGGGUGCGCCGAAUACUGAAAGACUAGAGUGCGGGAGAGGAAAGUGGAAAUUCCUGGUGUAGCGGUGAAAUGCGUAGAUAUCAGGAGGAACACCGGCGGUGUAGACGGCUUUUCUGGACCGUAGCUGACGCUGAGACACGAAAGCGUGGGUAGCAAACAGG